rnacentral:rRNA from 1 species
CCAAUAGCGUAUAUUAAAGUUGUUGCAGUUAAAAAGCUCGUAGUUGAAUUUCGGGUCCAAUAUGUCGGUCGUGCCUCGGUACGUCCUUGCAUUAUUGGUUUCUCCCUUCUGACGAACCAUGAUGUCAUUUAUUUGGUGUCUUGGGGAAUCAGGACUGUUACUUUGAAUAAAUUAGAGGGUUUAAAGCAGCCCCACGCUUGAAUACAUUAGCAUGGAAUAAUUCAAUAGGACGUUUGAUUCUAUUUUGUUGGUUUCUAGGAUCGACGUAAUGAUUAAUAGGGAUAGUUGGGGGCAUUAGUAUUCAAUUGUCAGAGGUGAAAUUCUUGGAUGUAUUGAAGACUAACUACUGCGAAAGCAUUUGCCAAGGAUGUUUUCAUUAAUCAAGAACGAAAGUUAGGGGAUCGAAGACGAUCAGAUACCGUCGUAGUCUUAACCAUAAACUAUGCCGACUAGGGAUCGGAUGAUGUUAAUUUUUUAAUGACUCAUUCGGCGCCUUACG